rnacentral:rRNA from 1 species
GACGAACGCUGGCGGCGUGCUUAACACAUGCAAGUCGAACGCUGAAGCCCAGCUUUUGUUGGGUGGUUGAGUGGCGAACGGGUGAGUAACACGUGAGUAACCUGCCUUCUUCUUUGGGAUAACGCCCGGAAACGGGUGCUAAUACUGGAUAUUCACUGGUCUUCGCUUGGGGGUUGGUGGAAAGGGUUUCUUUGGUGGGGGGUGGGCUCGCGGGCUAUCAGCUUGUUGGUGGGGUGUUGGACUACCAAGGUUUUGACUGGGAGGAGGCCUGGGAGGCGGAGCGAUCACAUUGGCACUGACAUACGGCCCGAACUCCUGCGCGAGGUAGUAGUGGGGAAUAGUGCACAAUAUGCUCAAGCAUGAUGCAGCGACGCCGCCUGAAGGAUCGCGGCCGGCAUGUCGGGCACCUCUUUCGCAAACGGUCACGCCGCAGCAAUGGUUUUGGUGACGGUAAUGGGUAAAGAAGCACCGGCUAACUACGUG